rnacentral:rRNA from 1 species
CGCCUGGGGAGUACGGUCGCAAGAUUAAAACUCAAAGGAAUUGACGGGGACCCGCACAAGCGGUGGAUGAUGUGGAUUAAUUCGAUGCAACGCGAAAAACCUUACCUACCCUUGACAUGGCAGGAAUCCCUGAGAGAUUGGGGAGUGCUCGAAAGAGAACCUGCACACAGGUGCUGCAUGGCUGUCGUCAGCUCGUGUCGUGAGAUGUUGGGUUAAGUCCCGCAACGAGCGCAACCCUUGUCAUUAGUUGCUACG